CCUACGGGAGGCAGCAGUGGGGAAUAUUGGGCAAUGGAGGAAACUCUGACCCAGCGACGCCGCGUGCGGGAUGAAGGCCUUCGGGUUGUAAACCGCUUUCAGUAGGGAAGAAGCGAAAGUGACGGUACCUACAGAAGAAGCACCGGCUAACUAUGUGCCAGCAGCCGCGGUAAUACAUAGGGUGCAAGCGUUGUCCGGAAUUAUUGGGCGUAAAGAGCUCGUAGGUGGUUCGUCACGUCGGAUGUGAAAAUCUGGGGCUCAACCCCAGACCUGCAUUCGAUACGGGCGAUCUAGAGUGUGGUAGGGGAGACUGGAAUUCCUGGUGUAGCGGUGGAAUGCGCAGAUAUCAGGAGGAACACCAAUGGCGAAGGCAGGUCUCUGGGCCAUUACUGACACUGAGGAGCGAAAGCGUGGGGAGCGAACAGGAUUAGAUACCCUGGUAGUCCACGCCGUAAACGGUGGGCACUAGUUGUGGGAACCUUCCACGGUUUCUGCGACGCAGCUAACGCAUUAAGUGCCCCGCCUGGGGAGUACGANCGCAGAUAAACUUAAAGUAAGUAGACGCGNGAGAGNGCGACGCGACGACGAGGAGAGG
rnacentral:rRNA from 1 species